rnacentral:rRNA from 1 species
GACGAACGCUGGCGGGCGUGCCUAACACAUGCAAGUCGAGCGGAGUCGAUCGACGGAAGCCUUCGGGCGGAAGAUGGUUGACUUAGCGGCGGAUGGGUGAGUAACGCGUGGGCAACCUGCCUCGAAGACCGGGAUAACAGCCCGAAAGGGCUGCUAAUACCGGAUGUGGUCAAAGAUCCGCAUGGAUUUUGAUUAAAGGGGAAACCCGUUUCGAGAUGGGCCCGCGUCCUAUCAGCUAGUUGGUGAGGUAAAAGCUCACCAAGGCGACGACGGGUAGCCGGCCUGAGAGGGUGACCGGCCACACUGGAACUGAGACACGGUCCAGACUCCUACGGGGGGCAGCAGUGGGGAAUCUUCCACAAUGGGCGAAAGCCUGAUGGAGCGACGCCGCGUGAGCGAAGAAGGCCUUCGGGUUGUAAAGCUCUGUCUGGAGGGACGAAGGAAGUGACGGUACCUCCGGAGGAAGCCACGGCUAACUACGUG